rnacentral:rRNA from 1 species
UACGAAGGGUGCAAGCGUUACUCGGAAUUACUGGGCGUAAAGCGCGCGUAGGCGGGUUGGUAAGUCCGCUGUGAAAACUCGAGGCUCAACCUCGAGACGUCGGUGGAAACUGCCUCGCUAGAGUCCGGAAGAGGAGAGUGGAAUUCCUGGUGUAGCGGUGAAAUGCGCAGAUAUCAGGAAGAACACCCGUGGCUAAGGCGGCUCUCUAGUACGGUACUGACGCUGAGACGCGAAAGCGUGGGGAGCGAACAGG